rnacentral:rRNA from 1 species
UACGUAGGGCGCAAGCGUUGUCCGGAAUUAUUGGGCGUAAAGAGCUCGUAGGUGGCUUGUCGCGUCUGCCGUGAAAGCCCAUGGCUUAACUGUGGGUCUGCGGUGGAUACGGGCUGGCUAGAGGUAGGUAGGGGCAAGCGGAAUUCCUGGUGUAGCGGUGAAAUGCGUAGAUAUCAGGAGGAACACCGGUGGUGUAGACGGCUCUCUGGACCGUAACUGACGCUGAGGCACGAAAGCGUGGGUAGCAAACAGG